AUUGAACGCUGGCGGCAUGCUUUACACAUGCAAGUCGAACGGUAACAGGCCUUCGGGUGCUGACGAGUGGCGAACGGGUGCGUAAUGCAUCGGAACGUGCCCAGAGGUGGGGGAUAACGCAGCGAAAGCUGUGCUAAUACCGCAUGUGAUCUGAGGAUGAAAGCGGGGGACCAAGCAGCAAUGUUUGGCCUCGCGCCUCUGGAGCGGCCGAUGUCAGAUUAGGUAGUUGGUGGGGUAAAGGCCUACCAAGCCGACGAUCUGUAGCUGGUCUGAGAGGACGACCAGCCACACUGGGACUGAGACACGGCCCAGACUCCUACGGGAGGCAGCAGUGGGGAAUGUUGGACAAUGGGCGCAAGCCUGAUCCAGCAAUGCCGCGUGCGGGAAGAAGGCCUUCGGGUUGUAAACCGCUUUUGUACGGAACGAGAAGGCUCUGGCUAAUACCUGGGGCUGAUGACGGUACCGUAAGAAUAAGCACCGGCUAACUACGUG
rnacentral:rRNA from 1 species